GUUAGUGGCGAACGGGUGAGUAACACGUGGGCAAUCUGCCCUUCACUCUGGGACAAGCCCUGGAAACGGGGUCUAAUACCGGAUAAUACUUUCCCUCUCAUGGGGGAAGGUUAAAAGCUCCGGCGGUGAAGGAUGAGCCCGCGGCCUAUCAGCUAGUUGGUGGGGUAAUGGCCUACCAAGGCGACGACGGGUAGCCGGCCUGAGAGGGCGACCGGCCACACUGGGACUGAGACACGGCCCAGACUCCUACGGGAGGCAGCAGUGGGGAAUAUUGCACAAUGGGCGAAAGCCUGAUGCAGCGACGCCGCGUGAGGGAUGACGGCCUUCGGGUUGUAAACCUCUUUCAGCAGGGAAGAAGCGAAAGUGACGGUACCUGCAGAAGAAGCGCCGGCUAACUACGUGCCAGCAGCCGCGGUAAUACGUAGGGCGCAAGCGUUGUCCGGAAUUAUUGGGCGUAAAGAGCUCGUAGGCGGCUUGUUGCGUCGGUUGUGAAAGCCCGGGGCUUAACCCCGGGUCUGCAGUCGAUACGGGCAGGCUAGAGUGUGGUAGGGGAGAUCGGAAUUCCUGGUGUAGCGGUGAAAUGCGCAGAUAUCAGGAGGAACACCGGUGGCGAAGGCGGAUCUCUGGGCCAUUACUGACGCUGAGGAGCGAAAGCGUGGGGAGCGAACAGGAUUAGAUACCCUGGUAGUCCACGCCGUAAACGUUGGGAACUAGGUGUUGGCGACAUUCCACGUCGUCGGUGCCGCAGCUAACGCAUUAAGUUCCCCGCCUGGGGAGUACGGCCGCAAGGCUAAACUCAAGGAAUUGACGG
rnacentral:rRNA from 1 species